rnacentral:misc_RNA from 1 species
AAAAAAAAAAAAAAAGGAAGAGAGAGAAAGACAGAGAGUUGAUCUUCGAAGAAAACAGGUAGAUAGAGAGAGUUGUGUCAGAAGAAAAAUAUAAGAAGCUUUUAAUGCGAGGUGGUUGAUGAAUGAUGAUGGGUUCUCUUUUCUUUUUUCCUUUUUUAUUUUUUCCAUUUCGUUUCUCUUGAGGCCUAAGCAUACCCAAUAAUAAACCCACCACCUCUCUCCUUUUGUUAUAUAUAAGUCGUUGUUUAAAACCCAAUUUCUGCAUAUCAACGGCACCCUUUAACAUAAUCUUCUGUCUUGUAUAAUUGGAGGCCAAAAAGAUGGAGUUUUAUCAAUACCCAUCUCGAUUUUCUAUGUCUUCAUUGCCUUUCUUUGGAGAUUUCGUUGAAAAGGUUAAAGAAGUUUGCAAUUUCGCGGUUUCUGCAAUCAUUGGGAACGUUUUCUCUGCGAUCUUCACCUUCUUCUUUGCUUUAGUGGGCACCCUGUUAGGAGCCAUGACUGGAGCUUUGAUAGGCCAAGAAACUGAGAGUGGGUUUGUCCGAGGGGCUGCUGUUGGAGCCAUAUCAGGAGCUGUUUUCUCAAUUGAAGUCUUUGAAUCUUCUCUUCAUCUUUGGCAGUCGGAUGAAUCUGGUAUUGGGUGUCUUCUCUACUUGGUGAGCAAUUUAGCUUCUGUUUCCUUGCUAAUGCGCAUAGAUGUUCACUAUAAGCUCAUGGAAAGUGAAAGUUAAUGCUUGCAUAUCUCUAAUGUUGAUAAUUUAUGAAUUUGAUGUUCAACCCUUGAUUGAGUUGAUCUGAUGUCAAAUUUAGCAACAAAGUAAUGGAACUCUUCAAUGUGGCAGAUUGAUGUUAUUGCAAGCCUCCUUAGUGGGAGACUUGUUCGUGAACGAAUUGGUCCAGCCAUGUUAAGUGCUGUACAAAGCCAGAUGGGAGCUGUUGAGACAAGCUUUGAGGAGGUCCAGAACAUCUUUGACACUGGUGGUGCCAAGGGAUUGCCUGGAGCUUCUGUUGAAAAGAUCCCCAAGAUCAAAAUCACAAGCAAUAACAAUGUAGAUGCUUCAGGGGAGAGAGUCGGUUGUUCUGUCUGCCUUCAGGACUUUCAGCUUGGAGAGAUGGUCAGAAGCUUGCCUCAUUGUCAUCACAUGUUUCACCUACCUUGCAUAGAUAUGUGGCUCCUGAGGCAUGCAUCUUGCCCACUGUGUAGAAGGGAUCUGUGAUGUGGUGUUUCCUUUUUUUUUUUUUUUUUUU